GACGUAGGGCGCGAGCGUUGUCCGGAUUUAUUGGGCGUAAAGAGCUCGUAGGCGGCUUGUCGCGUCGAAUGUGAAAUCUCAGGGCUCAACUUUGACAUUGCAUUCGAUACGGGCAGGCUAGAGUUCGGUAGGGGAGACUGGAAUUCCUGGUGUAGCGGUGAAAUGCGCAGAUAUCAGGAGGAACACCGGUGGCGAAGGCGGGUCUCUGGGCCGAUACUGACGCUGAGGAGCGAAAGCGUGGGGAGCGAACAGG
rnacentral:rRNA from 1 species